GACGAACGCUGGCGGCAUGCCUAACACAUGCAAGUCGAACGAAACCGCCGGGCUUUUUGGCGCAUGGCGGCGUAACGCGUGGGGACUUGCCCGUAGGUUCCGAAUACCUCCCUGAAAGGGGUCCUAAUACCGGAUAAGCUCUUCCCACCUAAGAUGUAUUGCGCUUGGAUGGGCCCGCGUUGGAUUCGAUUGUUGGUAGGGUAAAAGCAUAUCAAGGCCUCGUUCCAUAGCUGGUUUGAGAGCAUGAUCCGACACACUUGGACUCAGACACGGCCCGGAAUCCUACGGGAGGCAGCAGAGGGGAAUAUUGGACAAUGGGGGAAAGCCUGAUCCAGCAAUGCCGGGUAAGUGAUGAAGGCCUUAGGGAUGUAAAGCUCUUUUACCCGGGAUGAUAAUGACGGUACCGGGAGAAUAAGCACCGGCUAACUCCGUG
rnacentral:rRNA from 1 species